rnacentral:tRNA from 1 species
UGGGUUGUAGCUCAGUGGUAGAGUGCUUGCCCAGCAUGUGAGGCCCUGAGUUUGAUCCUUAGCACCACAU